UACGAAGGGGGCUAGCGUUGUUCGGAAUUACUGGGCGUAAAGGGCGCGUAGGCGGUGUGUCAAGUCAGGCGUGAAAGCCCCGGGCUCAACCUGGGAACCGCGCUUGAGACUGGCACGCUCGAGUUCGGGAGAGGAUGGUGGAAUUCCCAGUGUAGAGGUGAAAUUCGUAGAUAUUGGGAAGAACACCGGUGGCGAAGGCGGGUCUCUGGGCCGUAACUGACGCUGAGGAGCGAAAGCGUGGGGAGCGAACAGG
rnacentral:rRNA from 1 species